ACUCCUACGGGAGGCAGCAGCUGGGGAAUAUUGCACAAUGGGCGCAAGCCUGAUUCAGCCAUACCGCGUGGGUGAAGAAGGCCUUCGGGUUGUAAAGCCCUUUUGUUGGGAAAGAAAAGCAUUCGGUAAUACCCGGGUGUUCUGACAGUACCCAAAGAAUAAGCACCGGCUAACUACGUGCCAGCAGCCGCGAUAAUA
rnacentral:rRNA from 1 species